rnacentral:lncRNA from 1 species
CGCGGCUGGAACUCCUGGCCGGCUCUCUAGGGGUAAGCCCAGACUCUGGGCAGCAGGCGGGACGGCGCAGCCACUGGGAGAGUCCUCCAUCCGAGUGAGGUCACCUGCAGGGACGCGGGGCAGUGCAGAGCGCAGGGAAGACCCACUGUGCUCCCCUGCGCCCCUAGAGCCCCUAGUACUGUCCUUAUGUCCUCACCUGGAGGCCAACACUAGCAGGAGUAGGUCCGGACCGAAACGCCGUCUGCCCGGGAGCUCCCAGAAGUCUGGCCUGGAGGGAAACGAGCAGAGGUUCAGCUGGAGCGCCCGUGCCCUCACCCUAGUUUUCCGUCAGGGUUGCUGUGAGCUCAUCCUCCAGCCCCAGGACACCCUACCCCCUUGGGCUUCCUCUCCUGAUAUCUCAACUUCACAUCAGGUUUCCUUCCUGGCAGCCUGGGACUUAAACAAGGGGCCCCUGGGUGGCUUUGGGUGGAUUCAUUUGGGGUGUGUGCUUCAUCCACCCCAAGGAGAGUCUGGAAUAUUGGAGCGGUCCGUUUGUCAGGAGAACCUGUAAGGGUAGAGUUGGCCCAUUUCCCACUCUGGAGAAGGGGAGGGGCUGCGGCGUUUGAGGCCCUGCCACCAGCCACCCACCUUCAGGCUGCAGCUUUCGGAGAGGGAGCCCUGGUGAGCCCAGGGCUCCUGCUGCAGCCGAACGAAAGUUGGGGGGCAACAUCUCAGCCGAGUCGGGGGUUACGCCUCGGAGGUCCUUCUCUCGGAACAUCUUCCGCCAGGAUGGGGAGCGGCUGAAGGACUUGGCGCUGUCCUGGGUAGAGGAGCAGGCAGAGGGAGUUGCCGGGCCUGGAGAAGGAGGCGGGAGAGAAGUUGGUGUGUGCAAUCUCCACUGGGAGAGCCCGGCCUACUCCAGGCCCAGGGACCGCUCACCUGCGCGUUCUGCGUGGGGAUCUGCAGGAGCAAGGCCAGGUCGGAGUAGUCGAAGGUCUCGUCCAGGGCGAGCAGAGCCCCAUGCACCCCGCUUUCUCCGUGAGAUUCGUGGCGAAUUCCUUCAGGCCCAGCCCGGACACCCAACCCAUGACUCGCUCGUUGGACCACACCAUGACGUCUGGGAACGGAAGGGACCCUCAGCCGCGCUCCCCUAGUGCUCAGAGCAGGACAAUGACCAAUCUCUGCUUUGGACAAUGGGCCAAUCCAAAAUUAUCUCCUACACCGUGACAGAACAGUCUCAGCCUGGUCCAAGGACCCUCAGCGAAGCGCCACCAUCAUGCAUGCGCUUGGCAGAACCCGAACCCACACCCAGCUUACUGAAGUCAGUAUUUACAUUUUCACAAGAUCCCCAGAGACCUGAACUAUGCAUUAAAUUUUGAAAAGCACUGGUCUAACUGUGUUCCAACUCAAUCUGACAUCACUACUCUCCCAAGGUAGGUGAGUGGAUUCUCCUAGCAUGGCUCCCCCCAACAGAGGAGCAUCACUCCCACGGUGUCUUGAAGAUACUCAUCUAACGCUGCACCUGACCUAGGACCAAGUUCUGGGUCAGCCCAAAGCCCUUCACUCUCGUUAACGUAAUCCACACUUCUGCUGGCUGGAAACCAAGACCAUGGCCCAACAUGGCUCCUCCGUCACAGCAGGGUCAUGUCCCUCCCUUCUUGAGAACAAAGGGUAGCUUCCCUCCCCACUUCGAAUUCUGCCUGGUCUGCUUCACCACCACCAUAACCUGCAACCGCGCAGCAUAGCCCUCUUGCCCUUAACCCUAGGGGAAAGCAGGCGGCUAGCAAUGUCCUCCAGUCACAGAAAAGGAACAGCCCCUGGAGCUCCCACAACCCUGCAAAGGCCUGGCCAGAACAGGGUGGCUUUCACUUGCCCCCCCACCAUGCUUCAAUAAACCAGUCCAGAGCUGAGCUCGGCGCCGCGGCCCCAGCCCCGGCCCGCGGGACGAUGGGACGUUCCAGGGAGGGAAAGGGCGGGGCUAAGAGGGAGGGGCGAGCAUGCCGCGUGCACAACCUGUUCAUGCGCCCACGCCCCGCCCCGCGCCCCUACCUGCUCCCAGCUGAUCUCCUUGGUCUCCUGACCCGUUAGUGGGAAGAGGGGAGAGAAGGGGUGGGUUAAGGGGCAGGCAGAGGAGGACGGAAGGGACGGAGAGACGGACAGCCACAGACUCGUCCCCGCCCCGCCCCCGCGGAGGGUUAGUGUCAUCCCCUAGGCCGCCGGCAGGGGCACUCACGGGCUUCGUUGCGGCCGUCA